UACAGAGGUCCCGAGCGUUGUUCGGAUUCAUUGGGCGUAAAGGGUGCGUAGGCGGUCGCGUAAGUCGGAUGUGAAAUCUUGGGGCUCAACCUCAAAACUGCAUUCGAUACUGCGAGGCUAGAGGAUUGGAGAGGAGAGUGGAAUUCACGGUGUAGCAGUGAAAUGCGUAGAGAUCGUGAGGAAGACCAACGGCGAAGGCAGCUCUCUGGACAAUAUCUGACGCUGAGGCACGAAGGCCAGGGGAGCAAACGGG
rnacentral:rRNA from 1 species